AUCACUUGAAGCUCCAUCCUCUCAUUCUCUCACUCUCGAGACCUCGAACGGCACAGUGCUGAUUUUCGAAUCAUCGCCGGAGCUGCGAAUGAAAAGAAUCGACAACUCACGUAUAUUUCAUUUUUCUUGUCUGAAUUUAAUUUUUGUUCUUGUCUGUUUAGUUCUGAUUUUCGAAGUUAAUGCUUCAUCAUUUUUCAUAUUGUAUGCUAUUAAUUAUUGGAGUAGAAAUAAAUAGAUUUGUAUUCGCUAGCAUUAUGGUUUGCCAAUUACACAAUGGAUGAAUGCAGAUUCCCAAUUUUGUGCUCUAUUUUAUGAAAUAUAAGUCUAUUUCUUGAGAGACAUAUAUGAAAAUUGGAAUGAGAGACUAAUUAGUUGUAUCUCUUAA